rnacentral:rRNA from 1 species
GGACUACUGGGGUUUCUAAUCCUGUUUGAUCCCCGCACUUUCGGGUCUGAGUGUCAGUGUUGGGCCAGAUCGCCGCCUUCGCCACCGGUGUUCCUCCAGAUAUCUACGUAUUUCACCACUACACCUGGAAUUCCACGAUCCUCUCCCACACUCAAGCUUCGCAGUAUCAAUAGCACUUCCCAGGUUAAGCCUGGGGCUUUCACUACUGACUUACAAAGCCACCUACACCCGCUUUACGCCCAAUGAUUCCGAGCAACGCUUGGACCCCUCGUAUUACCGCGGCGGCUGGCAC